UACGUAGGGGGCAAGCGUUGUUCGGAAUUACUGGGCGUAAAGGCGCGUAGGCGGCCUUCUAAGUCGAACGUGAAAUCCCCAGCUCAACCUGGGAACUGCGUCCGAUACUGGAUGGCUUGAAUCCGGGAGAGGGAUGCAGAAUUCCAGGUGUAGCGGUGAAAUGCGUAGAUAUCAGGAGGAACACCGGUGGCGAAGGCGGGUCUCUGGGAAACAACUGACGCUGAGGAACGAAAGCGUGGGUAGCAAACAGG
rnacentral:rRNA from 1 species